ACCUCCUUGUAUUGUUUGGUAUUUAUUAUUGUUUUGAGACACUACAAGUUAGCGUUGCAAGCUAAACGAAUUAGCGAGUUGCUAACGUGUCAUCUCCGUGUCUACUGUGAGAUGUUUGUUAGUAUAUUAGCCUUGCUAUUUUUGCUGUGCUGUAAUUCGCUUCAUUUUCUUCUCCAUACAUCCACAUAAAUUCACCUGCACCAUUUCCUGCUAAGCAAUGUCCAGCUUAAUUGCCUACCACAGCCUAAUCAAACUAUCUACAUAAAGCGGACAUUGUCGCCAUCUAGUGUACAAAUUGGAAACUGCAAAUCUUUGAUAAAAGGAAAUUUGAGUAGAAUCUACAAUCUGCCGCCAAAUUUUUCUACCGUCUUCCAUCCAUCCUUGGACAUCCUGACGAUGAAGUAGCGCUAUGGCCGGUGCUCCAGCUUGUGUGGGUUAGAGAAUUUGAGCCACCCCGAUCGACAGUCAAGUUUUCCACAGUUAUCGCAAAACCUCCACAACACUACAUUAAAUUGAAAGUUCAGGAUUUUUGACAUUAGGCUUUAAUCUUUGAGUUGGGGGUGGGGUUAAUUAGUCUGUGGAGUUGAUUUCAUAAUAUUCCGUAUAGUUUGUUAGUUUUUUAUUAUUAUUAUUAUUUUCAGGGCUCUGGCUAAGCUAAUGCAAGUUAAUAGUCCCCUCCUAGCAUGCCAUUAAAAAGUGAUAUUAACAGAUCUAACAUAGUCAAGUAAAUUUAAAAUGCAGCUCGAUAUUCAGAAAUCCCAUGCAGCCAAAGCAAUGUCGCACCAAACUGCCGUAAUUCAUUUAAUUCUGCGGGACUAUGUUUUUAGAUGCAUAAUGACGCCACAAUAGAGAGGAGUGCACCGGCUAUUCGUCCUCAGUCUGCUCUGCUGAAUGUGUUCACGGAAGGACGGCCACACGGUAAAAUGUGCUAUUAGAAGUGAAAACAGACCGAAGAAAUGGGCAAAGGAAAGUUUCCACCACUUCCCUGUGUAUAACAAGGAAUAAUAUAAACUGUAGUUACUUGCUGCUGGCUUUGACAUAACACACCGGUGGAAAAAGUACUGCUUUGGAGAAUUUGCAGGACAACUUUUCAUCGCUAUCAUCUCCUGAAACCAAAUGCACAGGUAAAUACGGUAUAUAGGUUUUAAAAAAUCAUUUAUGAAAAUAUAUAGCAUAUACGGCACCACACCACUUCUAGGUGUUGGGUGUGCAUGCACACCUCAAUAUCGCAGCUCGCGUUAGUGAGGCUUGUAACAAACAUGCAUAUUUAUGGUUCGCGUUUUCAAAUUGGAAACAAUGGUAAACUUUCAGAUCCCCAUCCCAAAUGCAGUAAAUCAUUCCACUCAUUCCACAAUAGGCUAUUAAAAUAGUUUGUAUAGCUUCUAAGAUAUAUAAGGUGAUGUAGCCUACAUAUUAAAAACUAGUAAUUAUUGCAUUUUUAAUUUCUAUACAUUCAAUUUGUUUUUAUUUUUAAUUCACUCAAUACUCCCAACACAAAAAAAUCAGGAUUUCAACUCAAAAGCUAUUAAGUAGCUAUUUUUGUUGUUGCUUUAUUUUGUUGUUUUUAAGGUGAGGAAGAAUGUGACUGAGUCCGACAUCUCAAAUGCUGAAGCAGAUGGUGGAAGUGCUCAAACCAAAUGCUUAUGGCAACAAAGGUCAUAUAUGAAGAAAAGAGACCCACCAAUUCUAUUAUUUCCCCACUAAACCUCAACUGCUGACUGACACCUACAGCACUGUUCCAAAUUUUAAGUUUUAAAAUUUUAAAGAAAUGAAGGGUGCCAUUCAUCACAAUCUCUCCAAUAUAUCAGUGGUUGUGGUUUGUUCCCACUAUAUGUGAAGGUACAAAAUUUGUAGUAGAUUUAUAUUUUACAGCAAUGUUGCACAGAAAAGUGUCACUGUUUGAUAAAUGACUUAAAUGGUAUUUUCUUCUAUUUUGAAAUAUCUUGUUUUUCGUUUCAACAGUUGUCGAGUAUCAUAUAUCAAAUUUUUGACCAAUCUAUCGAUAAUCGUUGUAUCGCGAUAUCGGGUGACAAUCGUUAGCGUGAGGCAUGUAUCGUGAAUCGUAUCGUGAGUUGCCCUGAGAUUCCCACUUCUACUGAUAACAGUCACCUUUUUUUAGUGUGUGAAGUUUUUUUUUUUUUUUUUUUCAAUAUUAUUGUUAGUACAGUAAUUACAGUAUAAUAUUUUCACGCAAACCUGAAUUAAUUUGGUGCAUAUUUGAGUGAUAUAAGCACAUCAAAACACAAUAAUUGUCGGCAAUGUAUUUUUAAUACUUUUAUAAAAGUGCAAAUACAAACUGAGGCUCGUUCAAAGUCCCCUUAACAAUAAAAAAUUCGCAAAUUAUCCAAAUAUAAUGUGAAAAUGCAAACGAAAUUGACAGAAGACAAAUUAUAAUAAAAAUAGUGAAAAUAAACUACACAGAGAAGAACAAGAAAACAAAUGAUCAUCAUUUUGAACAUGCUUUUUACUCAAGCUUCUUUGAACCUUAUCUCCCGCACUCUUUGUCUUCCGGUAUCAAAAUGACAACCCACAGUACCACGACCAAUGAGAUGAGUGGGAAUGUCAUUGAUGUGUCAGCUCAUUGGUCAAAAAGCAGGAGAGGCAGGGUAAUGCGUUCUCCUACUGUACAUAUUCUUGAAAAGCACUAUACCAGUAUUCAUUCGUUCCAAUAAAUAAAACACUAUGUUCGAUUUCCAUGACAAUACAGGACAGAGCGCGUCACUUGUAAGCUUAAUACGUAAGCUUAAUAAUAAUAAUGAUACAUUUUAUUUCUAGAGCGCUUUUCAAGCCACACAAAGACGCUUCACAAGAGAGGUGGAAUCAAAGUACGAUCAAAACAAUCAUUAAAAAAAGAUAUUAAAAGGAUAAAAGAUUUAAAAACACAAUAGAGAGAAGUAAAGAUAUAACAGAGCUAGGGGUUAUGGUGGGUAAGAAAGAGUGAACAGCUGUGUUUUGAGUCUUGAUUUGAAAAGUGAUAGGGUAGAUAUACUGCGAAGAUCAGGGCGUAGGGCGUUCCAGAGCUGGGGGGCAUACUGACUAAGUUCUGGAGAGGUGGACACGGGGGGCGGAAAGGGGGAGGAUCGUGGAAGAGUGAAGUUGACGGGAUGGAUUGUUUAAACAGAGUAGAUUGCAGAGGUAGGGAGCGGCCAAACCAUGGAGUGUUUUGAAGGUGAUGAUGAGGAUCUUGUAAUUGAUUCUUUGUUUGACAGGAAGCCAGUGAAGUUGGCGGAGGAUGGGGGUGAUGUGGUGUGUUGCGGGGGUCCGAGUGAUGAGGCAUGCUGCUGAGUUCUGGAGGAGCUGCAGUUUUUAGAGGGACUUGUUAGGGAGACCAAAGAGCAGUGAGUUACAGUAAUCGAGCCGGGAGGUUAUAAGACUACAGACCAGGGUGGAAGCGGUAUGGCGGGUGAGAGAAGGGAGGAGACGAGAAAUGUUGCAAAGGUGGAAAUAGGCUGAUCUGGUUAUGCUGUUGAUAUGUGACCGGAAGGAGAGCGUGCUGUCGAGGAUGACACCCAGACUACACGAGUAGAAGGAGAGAUCGGUACAUUGUUGAUGGUAAUAGAGAACUUAUGGAAAUGAGCGAGCAUUGCAGUGGUUCCAACUAGGAGGACUUCUGAUUUUGAGCUUUAUGAAUCAUAAUCAAAUCGUCACGUGUUGAAUCUCGAUAACUCUAAUAAUCGAUGUAUUGGCACACCGCUAGUGAACAGGCUCGACAACACGGCCGCAGAAUGUCUAUGAUCUCAACUUUCCUCCUCCGACCUCCGUUUGCCAGUCUUUAUAAGUUAAGGUGACAAUUAUUGUUGUGGUAACAUCGCCAAAGAAAUCACCAGCUUCGUCAGGUUUUUAAUCAUUUAUUUCGAAACUUCUGCUACACACCACGCCUACUUCCCGCCGCAGUUGACGCUAACAACACGAGCACAUUAAAAGAGAAAGUAACAUCUCUGCAGCACCUUUCUCUGUGACAUCAGCCACGCGCUGCGUUCAGGUACAGCACGCAAAACACAUCUGCCACAUUAGAACCCUGUUUGUUACAUUAUUACAGGAAUUAUUGUUAUAUUAUUAUUCCAAUUUUUAUAAUUUAUUUGUUUUGCUAUGUGUAAUUGCCAUUUGUAGCUAGGCAUGUGCCGGUACGAUAACCGUGAGCAAAAAUACAGCGGUUUCACGGUAUCACGGUAUUGUAAUUACAGCUCCAAAAUGUGUUAUUUUUAGAGGCAUGGGUUUUAAAAAAAAAAAAAAGUUUUUUUCCGGGAUUUUUUUUAUUUUUCAGAAAAUAUUUGCAAAUUCGAACAUGAAUAUCAUGUUACAAUAAAUGAAUAAACAAAACAAUAUUUUAAAUAAAAUUAAAAUAAAUAGAACUUAUAGAUACCCUUAGCCACAGCUCAGGUUGCUCAAGAUUAGAGCAAGAACAAAAUCAAUUGCUAUGAAAAAGUAAAAACACUUCUAAAUAAAAUUGAAAAAUAUUUACUGUAUGACUUAUAUUUAAUGUACGACUCUAGUCUACAUGUAAUGCCUUUAGGUUAAAAAAACAAAGAAUUCAUAAGUUAAUAAGUUAAAAAUGGAUAAGUUUGUAAAAAUGUAAAUAUUGUUGUGUAAAGGUUUCAGCUAAAAAACAGUGGGAGUGAGACCUCUCCUUCUCCAGCGAACGUGCAUUUGUGCUUAGGGCAGGAUCAUCUGUCGCAAUUAGCGAUCUUUGACGCUAUGUUUUUUUUCCUUUAUUCAAGCUUGCUUCUUAGUGGCGGUGAGAUUUAUAACCUCGACGAAGUAGCUCUACCAGCUAAGACUAGGCUAACAUUCGUCUUUGUAAGUUUUUAGUUUGUUUGUAUUUUGAAUUUGAAAGGAAACUGUGUGUUAUGUGCAAAUGAAGCUACUCACAUGUGUAAAAUACUAUUGUACAACAUUUUAAAUGUAUUCAUUUUGUAUAUUUCAGUUUCCAUGAUUUGAGACCUCCAUAAAUUCAAGAAAAGUACGUCUUUUGUUUGGAGUGUUUUGUUCGUCGGCUGUUUAGCAGAAUAGCGUCACUUGCCACGUUUACAUGGAGCCAAAUAUUCCAAUUACAAUCGGAAUAUUUGUUCAAACCGAAUAAAUGUGUUCCAUAUAAACACCUCAUUCGGAAUGAACAGGCCCAAACCGAAUGGAAUUUCAUUCCGAUUCACAGGGGUGGAAUAUUCCUUUUCCCAAACCGAUUAGAAGUAAAAUUAUAUCAUGUAAACAGGGAAGCGGAAUGGUGUCUGGUUGCGUUCUUUCUGAGCAUGCUCCGUACUGACGUGGUGACGUCACUUGGUGACGUAAGUAACGUCACUUGCAACAUGGCUUCCAAGCACACGCACAGCGCACCCAUACAACUUUUUAAAUGAACGGCGUAUCAUUCUGAAGUUUUGUUUCCACUCGAAAAGUUAAAACAGCAGCUGAUCUGACGAUCGAUCUCCAUGUUUUGCAGCGUGAAGCUUUGUUUUGAUUAAUCUGCACAUGUCAGACGGCAGUUGUCCUUUUGGAAUAAAGGCAGUCACAUGUAAACGCUGGAUCGGAAUAGAUGAAGUGACAUGUAAACAGCUGAUGUGAAAUUUCCAUUCGGAAUGAUUUGAAUCGGUAUGAAUAAAAGCAUGUAAACGUGGCUACUGACACACACAACAACCGGGGGAGGGGUGAGCGCUGCCGCUCCAAGACACUUCUGGCUGCAUUUUUGAGACCUGUAAAAUAGCGAAUACCGUACUACGGUAUGACGGAAAAUUUUAGUGGUUUUGAAACCGUGAUGUUUUCAUACCACAGUAAACCUUGAAACCGGUAACCGGCACAUGCCUAGUACUAGCAGUAUUUAUUAAGGAUUUAGUGUAGGUUUUCAGGUUGUGGAAUGAAUUAAUGGAAUUCUAAUGUAUUCUCAUGGGGAAAUCCUGCUCGACAUACGACCAUUUCGACCUACAAACGUUCUGGAACAAAUCAACUUUAUUUGUAGAGGUACCCCUGUCACUCUCCUUGACCAUGUCACCAGGCAUAAUUGUUUAAAACUUGUUUAUAAUCUAGGAAUUGUUCAUUGUUCACAUUUGGAUUGUUGAAUGAAGAGAAGACCGUGAUUGGGAUUAGGAUCUGCCUCGGGUGAGAUUCAAAAUGAGAACCAAUUCAGCAAAACGUCACGGACAGGAUUCGAACCUGUGCGGGGAAACCCCAUUGGAUUUCGAGUCCAACGCCUUAACCUCUCGGCCACCGUGACUGUCGGCACAUUGGAAUAUAUGUGGCUUCUGUAUGAAAUAUGAUGGCACGGGGUUUCCUCAACAAACUAGUGGAAACAGUUGCGGGAUAUUCAUAUUGAUGAGAUACGUGGCACACAUCCGAAAAUGGUGGUGUAUUAAUUUGAUUCACGAUUGAAGGACACAAAGGUUUGCAUAUUGGACUGGUGAGGCCUGAGCUUUUCUUCAAGGUUCACUUCAGCCAAUAUAAAGAGUUCCAAAAGUGAUAAAAUUGGAAUAUGAGGUGAGUUUGUAAGAAAAUCAUGUGGAAUGCUAAAUUUGUGACUAAUUUAGAAAAUUGUAAUCAUAUAUAGACCCCAAUCACGUGACGUCACAACUCCGCCCCCCUGACUGGUGCCGCCAUAUUGUCAGUCAGCUCAUCGUGUUUACAUACUACCGCUACGUACAUUCCUCCUAUUACUGCGUGUUUUUUUACUCUGCUUGAACUAAUAAAUGUCAUACGUGUGUGAUUGUCAUUGGGAUAUGGUCGUGAAAACCUGUAGACUAAUACAUUUCUGUUCAAAGAUGGUUAUGUGGCCCAGUCCACGAUUUCUUACUAAAAUACAGUACUAAUAUUUUGUGUAAUUUUUCAAAACUGAUCUUAAAUCCAUUACUGUAAUGCGUCCAUGAAAACAUUUGAUGUUUUCACGCCAAUAAAGCGUUCUAGAUAAGCGCUCCCGUCAUGGGGGACAUUUCAGCAGGGCAGCUAUUUUUCGGCACACACCGGCCCGUCGUCGAACCGCUGAUCAGGUUUCAUUUUACAAUUGUGACAACUGUGACGCUCAGCUUCCCAAAUGUUGGUUUAUAUUCGGGCUGGUGCCAAUUUUGGGUACCUGACUCCUCAUCGUGAGAUUAACUGGAGUAUGACUGGAAAUUUUGUGGUCUCAGGACGAACUCUGACGCACGGGACGGGACCGGACGGGAGGAAACAUCGAUUUGGGCAUCAAAUAUGGAUCUGGCGACUGGAUCGACCAAAGCUUUUCCAAAUGACUGCUUUUAUGCAACUCAUCCAAUGAGUUUACAGCGUCUGAAAGCACCGGGGCUUCCAUAAUUUGCAAGAUGCAUAUGGUACAGGUAUUUUCUUCUGGGCAUGUUCACUGGGAAGAAACCUGGAGUUCAACAGGACAGGUUGAGGGGACCAAAUUCUUCCUCAUUCUUUGCCUGGCUCUGAGGAGCUGAACAAUAUGAGAUGGAACUCUGGGCUUUCCUGUUGAAGGUGCUGCUUCUGCUAUCUACCCUCUGAUUAAGUGUGGAAGAUGGAUGGAUAUUCAAUAAGUAUUUGAAUUCUUAAGCAUAAUUAUUCUCAACUCUCCAAAUAAAUCACUUUAAAACCACACAUUAAAAACUGGCACAAAUUACUUUCCAUAAUGUUCAUGAACAAAAACAGUAAAAUAUAAGAAAAUAAGCAUAAAAUCAAAUGUAAUAACAAACCAAAACACAUUUAAGGGGUUGAGUCUCACGCAGAGUUAAAAUCCAGGGAAUAAAACUGUUUUUAAAAAAAGCUAAAUUUAGAGAUGGACAAUGAUGGGCACUGUGGCGUUUUCAUAAGCUUGUAAAGUUUACUUUACAUUACAACAUAGGAAGCUGUGAGACUUUAGUUGGGAGUAACUUCAGAACAACGUCAUUUAUUGCCGUGUGCCAUUCAUUCUAACAACAACAACACAUACAUGCGUGCGCAUGCGCGCCAUAGCUCAAGUGUAUUGAUUUAAGUACUAGGGGUGCAACGGUUAAGUUAGCCCACGCUUUGGUUUGAACCUCAGUUUUGGGAUCACAGUUUCGGUUUGGUUUCGGUUUGCGUUUUGCUUUUAUUUUAUUUUAUUUUUUUUAACUGCCUUUAUUUUGCUUUUAAGAAAAUGAAAUAAACACUUAAAAUGUAAACAUUUUCAACCGUUAAAAUGCCUCUUAGCUCUUUGGCUAGUGUAGUGAUUGACUACUGAAAUACACACACAGUAGUAAAAAAGUUACUUUGCAAAGUAACUGGUGAUACCUUUCAUGAAAAAAACAAACCCAAAAACAUAGUAACCUUUGCUAUGUUUGGAGGUCAUUUAAUGUUGUGAAUCAACCGUUAAAGUUGAUAAAAUUGCUCCCGUUUUUGCAUUAGUUCCCUUCUGUCUACUUUCGACAUGUGAAGAUUUUAAAACUGUUUCAUCCUUUAAAGACAGACUCAAGUCAAGAUUUUGCCGAUUUCGGAGUAAUUUAGAUAAAAAGUUGCCUAGGUUCGCUCGGAAGGUUUACUCAACAGAGCCUUUCUGAGAAGUUUACUGCUUUAAAAAGGCGACUGUUUACUAACGCUACCAAGUCUGUCAUUUCGCAUGUAGUUCUAUAUGCAUGAGAUAUCUAGGCGUAGAUUGUAUGCUGUCGGCUACAGUCCGGAAAUAUUGGAGCCACCUAGCCUAGCAUCGCGUUUGCUGCAGCGUCUCAACAAACACUCUUCCCUCUCCGUGUCUGACUUUUCUCGCGUCAUUCAACCAAUGUAUUAACGAACAUUGUCUCAUUGCAGAAACGGUGACCAAAUCCGAACGGAUGAAAAAAAAAAACUUAAUGCACGAAAAACGUGCAGAUUUUGAAUGCAACGUACGGCGCACACAUUUAAAAAUCAGUGCUCACUUGUACAAAUUACGACGAGACCGUACAACUUGACAGGUAUGAAUUAUAGUGGACCGUCACAGUUAGGUAUUAGCACUCUGUAGCAUGGGACGUCCAACUAUCAGUGGUCAGGGCGAAACUAUGUGCUUUAGCGAAAUCAUCUUCGAUGGCUUUGCGUGCCAUUUCGUAAAUGUCGGGGAUUACGUUGUUGGAGAAAUAUGUCCGCGGGGGAACAAUGUAACGCGGGUCAAGCGUUGCAAAUAAAUUAACGAAGCCCGCCGUGUGUUUUGACUGGUGUCAUCUUCGGGGUUGUCCUGCCCUGAGAAAGUAAUAUCUUUGGGUGAUGCCGGCUGAGGUGCCGGAGUCAUGUUAUAAAAGUGUUGCCAUUAGCAUGGGGAACAAGCGCUGAGCAAUGCUUGCAAUUUAAAAAAAAAAAUAUUUUCUCUCCCUCCGCAUUGUAGUCCACGGGGAAACCAAAAUGUUGCCAUACCGCAGAUUUGAAAGAAGCCGGUGCUUCCUCAAAAUUUGGUCUCUCCACUCCUCCGCUCGCCAUAGCUAUUUGUUUUCUUUCUUGUUUCACUUUCACUUCGCUCGUAAGCGAGACAGGUCGUUACUCGGCUUCUAUUACACAGGUGCUUGACAGCGAUCCGACAUUUACUUGCGGGGCGGGAAUUUCUCCAUAGCGGUGCUUCACGUCACACACAGGCACACAGAGCUCGAUCAAUUCAUUCCACAAGCAUUCGGAAUACAUUAAUUGCAAAACCGAAAAGGCGCGGUUCAUAAAGGCGUAUUGAACCGUACAGGGCGAACCGUACGGUUCGGCUUUGAACCGCAAACCGUUGCACCGCUAGUAAGUACGUCUGUGAAUUGGCAUGUACGGUAUUUCACUUUACGUGGCAGGCACGAUAUUUAAUUCUCGCAAUCGGACUUCCGGGCAUUAAUGACGUCAGCAGCCACAACAAAGCGUCGCCCUAUUGACGAGGGGGCAAAACAUGAGUCACAAGCAGUUGCUCUGUCGUGCAUUGCAGUACAAACGCGUUGAACUAUAUCUUAUUUGCGGUCUUUUUUUCCGUCGGAAUGACUAAAAGUUGCUGUGUUUCGGGUUGUAAAACAAGGAAGAGUUAGGAGCCGCAUUUGAAGUUCUUCAUUCUUCCUUGUGAGAAGAAAAGGAGAAGCAAAUGGCUGAAACCAAUCAAUCGAGGAACAGUAAAAGAAGACUGUUCCGUGGACCGUUCUCGCCUGUGGGAACCUAAAUCCAGGCACAUUUAUGUUUGCAGCCGCCAUUUUGAGUGAGUAAACUUUUAUCAUUUUUUUAGCCCUAAUUAGCUGCUAGGAUUCAACAGACUAGGCAGUGGUUAUUAUUACCGUAAACGACAACUCGCAAAGCGUUAUUUUUCUUUUGCCGUGAACUGCUCUGAUUGGUCAAUCGGUAUAUUAUUGGCCUGGUGGGAAUUGGUUAUUUUGCCGUGACGUGACUCAUGCACUGCAUUCUUGCCUGAUGACACCCCAUUUAGUUCUACUACCACGGUUCACGGCUAAAUUACGCUUGGAGGUGAAUUACCGGUUACGGCAGAAAUAAUCAUCCAUUAAUGCAUCCAUUAAUUAAAAUACCUUACCGUUUAUUUUCAUUUGUUUAAAAACAAAAAAUGCCUAGAAUUGAUAAAGGUCAACUUAAUGGGUGACUUUAUGAGGUAGUUAUAGAUGUUUCCGAACUCCACUGCAGGCCAUUCCUUUGGAUUGUUUGCCCAUAUAAAGUCGCAGCUGAUAGCUGGAUAGAUUUGCAAGCCAAUACACGCUAAUUUUAAGUUGUAUCGCCUCCUCGCGUCUGUCUGCAGUGACUCGUGAUAAUAUGUUUAAGACGUUUUUAUGAAAGAAAGACGCAAAACAGCUGAAAUAUAUGAAUUUCAAACGUUUGUAUACGGAUGUUUACCUGUGCGUGCCCCCUUCUCAAAAUGGCGACACGUUGCUAUGCUAGAUGACGUCAUCGUGACAUCACGCCGACUGUGAGAAUGUCCUCUAACACGAGACAGAUGAGUUCUACCUCCACAAAUGUAAGUUUAGCAAGCUGUUACCAUCUUUUUCUCACUUUCACAAUGAAACGGUAUGCUACAUAAAUCUGUUAAAAAAGUCAAAGAAUAGGAAAGCGGAAAAAAAUCAUUGAUAUUUGUGAAAAGCUUCCACUUUUUUGUGAAUAGUUGCUUAUAGUAUUAUUCAUUGUUUUUUUUUUUUUUUUUUUCUCUGGUGUGCAAUGUUUGGAAUGUUUAUACCCCCUGGCAUGUUUGUGUUUUUUUUUUUUU